AAGGCUAUACUUUAAGUAUUGCUAUAGUUGGUAACUAGAGAAGUUUCUCUGAUCAUCGUGUAGAGUACCAGAAACCACGAGGAGGAGGCGCAGUGUUCCUUCCUGAGCGGGAAGCCAGCUCUUGGUGUUGCUUUGCUGCAACUGCUACUAGCAGUUGAUUAUUCUUGUUCUUCCCCGGGGGUGGGGGGACACAGUCUGAGUGAA
ensembl:snoRNA U3 Small nucleolar RNA U3